rnacentral:lncRNA from 10 species
GUGAGUGAAUUAGGAGCUGAAGCAGUAAAGUAGCUUUCCCUGUGACCCUGAUGUGUCGGGCAUUUCUGUCUUAGACUAAAAGCAUAAUAAAAAAGGCACUUUGUUUAGGUUAACAGAGCAUUAUAUAACUGGAAAGUUUUACAGUUUUAUAUAUAUAGUGAAUAGUUUGUAGAGGAUAAAAAGACUUCCCUUUGGUUUAUUAUUUGGGUAAAAUAAAAACCCACGAAUCAUUUAAGGAUGCAUUUCUUUUUCUUUUUUCUGCCUUUUUUUUUUUAAGACAAAAGCUUGAAGGCAUAAAAUGGAGUUAUUUUCAUCGGGAUAUCACCCUCGAUGCUGCUGCUUUACUACAUGUUCAUAGUCAAAAUUAUUUCAUGUUUCCCUUGAAUAACUACGAUCAGUUUGAAAACAGCUUUGUUAAUUAGUAAGAGAUGACGCAAUAUAUCACUGCAUCUUUAGGGCUCUGGCGCCAGCUAGUGGUAGGAGAGGGGAGCCGCCCUGUCGCUCUCAAAUCUGGGAAGGCGUCGGUCUUCUCGCGUCCCCUUAUCCCUCAUCCUCCUCAUUUUUUUUUUCCAUCAGCAUAAUGGGGGAAUCAUUGCAGUGUGGCCAGAGAGGAGCAGACGAGAUUAUAGAUGAAAGUAGAGAAAAACGGUGGGCAGGGGCAGGGAGAGGAAAGGCCAGACAAAUGCAAUCAUUUCUCCAAAGGAUUUGAGAAGAGAUCAUUUAUUUGAAAUAUUCCUGCCAUGUUGAUGGAGCAGCUCAAUCUUUUGCCAGUGAAUCUUUAGCGUUUUGUUUUUCAUUUGUAGAUAUGGUUGAACAUAUACUUAGGACACGUAAUAACUAUGGAACUUCAUCACAAACACAGCACUGAGGACAUGUUAAGAACUUGAUGUAUACCUCCUGACCUGUUCAUCUUGUAGCUGCCUCUUGACAGCACAUGUUGGCACCUUUAGAAAGAUCUAGAAAUCCACGUGUUGUACGUAAAUCUGGGGCUGUUGUUACUGCAGAUGUACCUUCCACAACUUGAUUUUCUGUGAUGUCAAUUAUUCAGAUAUAAGAGGCCGCCCUGUAGAGGAGGAAGGAGGAAGUUGGCUGUGAUUGACCUUGCUAGGUCAUCUUCCUAAUCUUUGUCCUUUCCUGCACCCCAAAUGGAAGAUAAAAGGCAAUGCAAGAUCAGCAUCCUCAGAGACAUCGUUUUGUUUGGGUUUCAUGGAUUGCAAUUGCCAGAGAUGCUUAGGCUGCCUCUAGAGGGAAGAUGAUUGAUUGUUAACCUAUGUGGUCCAACCAAAUGUCUUAGGGGUUAUUGAUAAUUAAAAUGGACAAUAGCGAUUUUCCAUUUCUUCUGGCCUUGGGUGCUGGCAUGUGGAAGUGGUAUUGAUACUCAUGACCAAAUAGGCACUUAUCGAUUUCAGUUUUCAUAAGUUGCCUACCAAAUGCAAACUAGUAACCCAGACGUGGGAGACCUAAUAUUCCAUUGUUAAUCUUUAGGUCCAUAAUUUUUAUUUCCUCUACUUGCCUCUUCUUCCUUCCUCUGCAUAAUGAGUUGGGCUUAUAUAAUUGCACCCAUUUACUCACUCAUUCGUUCAAUCAAUUAUUUGUUCCUAUUUUAUGCCAAGUAAUGAACAGAAGGUGUUGGGGAUGCAAAACCCAACUAAUUGGAAUUUCUAUGUUACAGGAGCUUAUGCUUUAGUGAAAUUAUAGACAAAUUAUUAUACAGUUUUAAUCCAGAAUAGUAAGUGCUAUGGGAGCAUGCACAGAGGAAACAACCCAAUCUUAAGGAAUCAGGAAGGUUUGCAGAGGACUGACAGGAAAAGUGGGCAGGUGAAGAAGAUGGGCAGUGAGAGGAGGAGUGGAAGCACUUUUGCUAGGGAAAAACAUGAAUAAAAGGGAUAAUUUUCUGCUCUUACCCCUGGGUGAUCUUUGCGUGGUACUGUCCAUCACAGUUGGGAGAGACGGCUCCUCAGAGCUGCUCCACACUGUUCACAGAGGAUGCCAUUCCAAGGAAACUGGGGAAUAGGGAAAGUCUUUAGCUUAUUCCUCUUUGAGGUUUGUUUGAGAUGCAGUUUCUUCAAUAUUUUGAGUCUAUGAAAACAUGUUGUAUACUUAAAUAUAUACCACAAAAAAUAAAAAAAAUUGCGAUUUAAA